UACGAAGGGGGCUAGCGUUGUCCGGAAUCAUUGGGCGUAAAGCGCGUGUAGGCGGUCCGGUAAGUCCGCUGUGAAAGUCGGGGGCUCAACCCUCGGAUGCCGGUGGAUACUGUCGGGCUUGAGUACGGAAGAGGCGAGUGGAAUUCCUGGUGUAGCGGUGAAAUUCGUAGAUAUUAGGAAGAACACCAGUGGCGAAGGCGGCUCACUGGUCCGGUACUGACGCUGAGGUGCGAAAGCGUGGGGAGCAAACAGG
rnacentral:rRNA from 1 species